rnacentral:lncRNA from 12 species
CUAGGUUUGUAAAACCUUCCUCUUUACAAAUGAUUUCUAUGUACAGAACGGGAAGGGUGUGCAGGUAAAUGACCUUUGCCGGAGACCUUUUCCCUUUCAUAUGGUAAAGAAAUUCAUAUUUUGUAACACAGCUUACACUUUAACCUUUAACGCUCAUGGUUAUGUAUUUUAUGCAGUAAUGGUUACUUUACGCGUCAGAUACGGUCAGGCAUAGUGAGUUACUCUGCUGACACACUGAUAAGUCAAGGACUUUUAAUUUCAGUUUCGAAUGAAACCGUCCCCUAAAGGAAAAUCCCGGCUUCAUGUUAAUCUAUUUCUGUUCGGGUGAUAGAGACGGUGCAGUUUUGUCGUAUGGAGCAAGGGUUAUGAAUGGGGGAGAGGGAAAUUGAGAAUGGCCAGGGAAAAUAUUGCGCCGUAGUUAUUUUUGUGAUGCUGCAAGAUAAUAGUAGUAAUUGUACGUUGCUGGAUCUAAUUUGUUCAUAAAACUGGCCCGGUAUUUUACGGGUAGCAGCUAUUUUGAAAGGAUGGCUGUAAUCUCCUCACUUUUUACGUAAGGCAGAGGUCGAUAGGUUUUCCUCCGUGCUCGGCUGUCUGUCUGUCUCUCUCAUCAUGUAGCGACAUGUCAGCGGUGCAGGCUUUCAGCGCGCUUACUCCAGCCCUGAUCAGUCAUGUAAUUAGAUCAGGCUGCCAUGGUAACAGACGGGAUUCACCGUAUUCACCGGCCAGCCAGGUGCGUGUGUGGCUGGCGGGCGACCCAGCGGGCUACCGCCAGCCCUGCGUGUGCCGCGUUGGUGGCGUACGGCCGGCGCGGCCACCGCCUCAGGCUUUCCGACAAUUGAAAGAUGCCGGUGCUGGGUUCCUAAUGGCCGGACUUCUCGGGAAGGGUGUUCUUUGCCCACUGGAGUGUCAGGCAGAUGGGACCGUACGUGGCACGCUUAGCAGUCACAUUGCAGGCCAAGCCAGAUGGGCAAGCAAUACAAGCUGUGAAUUUAUUCUUGACCCCGUAGGACAGUGACCACCGUCAUUUUUGUCUUCACCAUACAGUUAUGCACUGCCAAUAAGGUGAGAAUGCAAUGCUUUUUAUUUCCUUCAGCAAGUGUACACUGUCUGCUCUAGGCUUUAGACAAAGUGGACACCUUCCUGGUGUCUGUGUGAUUACUUACCUGUGAUAGGUUUGUACUUCCCUUGCCUGGCAGUAGAGGUCCUUGAGAAACUCUGCUCAGAAAAAUUCCUUUAACUCUGGUGAGUCAGUUCUGUGACUUACAGAACAAAUGCAUUCCAGAUGAGUGGUUUCAUGCUCACCUGAGGUCAGAGUAUAUUCAGUUACUGGAAGAUGUUAGUAUGAAUGGAAAAGUUGGCAGACUGUGAUUCUUGUUAUAUAAUGCCAUGUGUAAAAUCGUAUAAAUCCUUCUUUCACUUUAAUGAACAUUUUCAGGAUUCUUGUUGCUUGUUGCCUACUUGGCUUUUACACUGUCUUGAGUCUCUUCUGUGCAUUAAACUUUGUCCAGCAUUAGAAUAGUUCCCAGGAUAAUUAAUCACUACUGAUGUAUCUG